CGGCUUGGUUUCCUGGGGCGUGGACUCAGCCUGCCCACCUCCCCUCAGCCGAGCCUAGAGCAGAGAGGCCUGGCUUCCUCCCCCACAGGGCAGGUGGUUGAGACAGGAACCUGGCCCCGGGCUGGCCUCGCCUCACAUUU
ensembl:scaRNA